rnacentral:rRNA from 1 species
GGGCGGUGUGUACAAGGCCCGGGAACGUAUUCACCGCGGCAUGCUGAUCCGCGAUUACUAGCAAUUCCAACUUCAUACAGGCGGGUUGCAGCCUGCAAUCCGAACUGGGACCAUUUUUGGGGUUUUGCUCCACCUCGCGGUCUUGCUUCCCUUUGUUAAUGGCCAUUGUAGUACGUGUGUAGCCCAGGUCAUAAAGGGCAUGAUGAUUUGACGUCGUCCCCACCUUCCUCCGUUUUGUCAACGGCAGUCUCCUUAGAGUGCUCUUCCGUAGCAACUAAGGACAAGGGUUGCGCUCGUUGCGGGACUUAACCCAACAUCUCACGACACGAGCUGACGACAACCAUGCACCACCUGUCUCAACUUUCCCCGAAGGGCGCCUGACGCAUCUCUGCCUCGUUAGUUGGAUGUCAAGACCUGGUAAGGUUCUUCGCGUUGCGUCGAAUUAAACCACAUACUCCACUGCUUGUGCGGGCCCCCGUCAAUUCCUUUGAGUUUCAAUCUUGCGAUCGUACUCCCAAGUGGAUAGCUUAUUGGUUUACUCCGGCACGGU